UCAUUAUGAAAAGGUGGCCCAGUGCACCUGCUUUAGCAAGGCAAGUAGGUGUCAUUUCCUUGAAAAGCUUCAGUUCAGAAAGUGUCACGUAGAAGCCUUCAAAAGAAAAAGCAAUGCAAGUUCAUUGUAUCCUUUUUUAUACUUUGUGCAUCUCGGCAUUGUUUUGCGAUGGGAAAACAACGCCUAAAGGUGGCAAGAAUACAAAUAAAAUAGACAAGGAGAAGGCAGUAAGACUGUUGCUAAGUAACAAUGUGCUCGCCAUAAGCAGGGGAGUUUAUAGCCGGUCAGACUAUCCGCGAUGUGUGUGGUCUCGCCUGAAGUCCUCGUCUUCAGUCAAAUACAACCACAAUUUAACAUAUUUGGACACCGAUGUAAAGGUGAGUACCCUUAGGAUAUGCAGUGCAAUUGCACCUUCUGAAUGCCGUUGGCCUUGGUAGGGGAAUAAAUUCCGAUUGCCAGGCAGCCCUCUAUCAUGAACACGCAUAAGAUCUCUCCUUGCAUUUGUUUGUUUUGAAACAUGCCAAA
rnacentral:lncRNA from 1 species